GGCCUCGUGGUGGAAUGGUAGACACAAAGGACUUAAAAUCCUUGCCCUAUGGGAGUGCCGGUUCGAGUCCGGCCGAGGCUACCA
rnacentral:tRNA from 1 species